CCUACGGGAGGCAGCAGUGGGGAAUAUUGGGCAAUGGGCGAAAGCCUGACCCAGCAACGCCGCGUGAAGGAAGAAGGCUUUCGGGUUGUAAACUUCUUUUGACAGGGAAGAGCAGAAGACGGUACCUGUCGAAUAAGCCACGGCUAACUACGUGCCAGCAGCCGCGGUAAUACGUAGGUGGCAAGCGUUGUCCGGAUUUAGUGGGGGUAAAGGGCGUGUAGCCGGGCUGACAAGUCAGAUGUGAAAUCCGGGGGCUCAACCCCCGAACUGCAUUUGAAACUGUUUGUCUUGAGUAUCGGAGAGGCAGGCGGAAUUCCUAGUGUAGCGGUGAAAUGCGUAGAUAUUAGGAGGAACACCAGUGGCGAAGGCGGCCUGCUGGACGACAACUGACGGUGAGGCGCGAAAGCGUGGGGAGCAAACAGGAUUAGAUACCCCAGUAGUC
rnacentral:rRNA from 1 species